rnacentral:rRNA from 1 species
AACGAACGCUGGCGGCAUGCCUAACACAUGCAAGUCGAACGGGAUCCAGUCUUCGGAUUGGUGAGAGUGGCGGACGGGUGAGUAACGCGUGGGAACCUGCCCAGUGGUGGGGGAUAACUGCGGGAAACUGCAGCUAAUACCGCAUGAGCCCGAGAGGGGAAAGAUUUAUCGCCAUUGGAGGGGCCCGCGUUCGAUUAGGUAGUUGGUGGGGUAAUGGCCUACCAAGCCGACGAUCGAUAGCUGGUCUGAGAGGAUGAUCAGCCACACUGGGACUGAGAUACGGCCCAGACUCCUACGGGAGGCAGCAGUGGGGAAUAUUGGACAAUGGGGGCAACCCUGAUCCAGCAAUGCCGCGUGAGUGAUGAAGGCCUUCGGGUUGUAAAGCUCUUUUGCCAGGGACGAUGAUGACGGUACCUGGAGAAUAAGCCCCGGCUAACUUCGUGCCAGCCGCCGCCGUAACAC